rnacentral:misc_RNA from 1 species
CUGAGAGUGUAAUCUUUACUGAAAUAUUACUGCUCCUUUGCAUUUGUGCCCUUCUAUUUGGAGGAAAUUACAGGUUUCAAUUUUAUAUAAACCAUGGCAUAGAUACUAAUGCAGCUACCAUGCACACUAGUUACUGACUAGACAAAUUAUACAAGGCUCCAGGAUUUAUGGACUCAAUGUCCCAGUUCCGUUUGUUACGGUUGAGAUCUGCUGUGGAUAUGCGUAAGACCAUGUUGUGAUGUUUAUAUAGAGUACGUCUGUG